GUUGCUGUUGUCUUAGCUGUUGUUGGUCAAGAAGAAAUUAAUGUCAGUUCAAGGCCUUUUCAGAUGUGAGCUAUAAACUUAACUGCUAAAUUAUUUUACUGUGACCAACACGUUGUAGUGCUCCAGUUAAUCAGAGACAGUCAAUUCAGACUUAAAAAAAGUUUAUUUAAACAUUUUAUGAAAAAUAAUCUUCAAUAAACAACCCCUGGCUUCAUUAACCAUGCGGAAAAUAAGUAAGGGAGACCAUCAGGUCGAAUUGCUGGGACAUAGGAGAAAGUAUAAAAAAUAAUUUAACAAAGAAAUCCCAACAAAAAUCAAAUAAAGUAUAAAGAUCCUGGAUGAUUGUUUGACUGUUAAAAUAUGAUGGAAAAGCAAAUCCAACACAACCCUCCAGCAUCUGGCCUUUCAAACACAGGGCAACAUCAUGGAAAGAAAAUAGCACCAUUGAAUAUUGACCAGGAUCUCUGUGUUUUAUCUGAGGAUGACUAUGGUAGCCUUCUCACUGUUCACUGUCACAAAGCUCCAGACUCUGUCCAUCUUCUCACUACGUCGAUCAGCUCCUCUGGGUGAUGGCAGAGAGGACUCUUCAUCUGGGAGAGCUGCUGGUGUAAGGUCAUUUCUACCAGUGGAUGAGCAGGACAUCUGGCACAGCUCUUAGUCCAAGCACAGGUGAAAAAAGGAGGAGGUUCCUUCAAACUAUGUGACCCCAGCCUGACCUCUGUAACAGGUGUGCAGACAAAGGUUGAAAUUAGUCAUUUUUAGGUUCUGUUGAUUGUAAAAUGGCAAAGAAAACAUUACCUUUCUAUUUAACAUUUAGCUGGUGUGUGACUCUGUGAUUUUUAUUUUAGAAGACUGUAUUGUUAACAAUAGCUUGUUUUUACAA